GUACUCUCACACUCCCGAUCUUAGGAUUGAGAGCGGUGGACUUGGGUUUGCUGCGUACCGUGGCUCACCUCAAAUGGAUUAGUGCAACUCUUGGUUGACCAUAGUACGGCGUGAUAAGUGUCUUCGCCGGCACCUCUUUCAGAGGGUGGCUGAUUGGGAGCUCUGUGCUUCAAACUGUCUUAGGACACUCUCUGACA
rnacentral:misc_RNA from 1 species